rnacentral:rRNA from 1 species
AUUGAACGCUGGCGGCAGGCUUAACACAUGCAAGUCGAACGAGUGGCGGACGGGUGAGUAAUGCUUUGGAAACCAGCCUCUGGAGGGGGAUAACUACGGGGCACUGUAGCUAAUACCGCGUCCCAUAGGAUGAGCCCAAGGGGGAUGAGGUAGUUGGUGAGGUAAAGGCUCACCAGGCCGACGAACCCUCGCUGGGCUGAGAGGAUGACCAGCAAAACUGGGACCAAUCCACGGCGCAGACUCGUACGGAAGUCAGCAGUGGGGAAUAGUGCGAAAUGGGGGCGACCUGACGGAGCCAUGCCGCUUGUAUGAAGAAGGCCUUGGGGUUGUAAAGUUCUUUCGGUAGCGAGGCGUUAACUGGAGAAGAAGCAGCGGCUAAGUCCGUGCCAGCAGCGGCGGUAAUUC